rnacentral:lncRNA from 1 species
GUUUUGGGGGUCAGUUUUGGGGUUUUUGGGGUCGGUUUUGGGGUUCUGGUUUUUGGGGUCGGUUUUGGGGUCGGUUUUGGUGUUUUAGGGUCAGUUUUGGGGUUUUUGGGGUCGGUUUUGGGGUCAUUUGGGGGGUUUUUGGGGCCUCACCGCCAGCAGCUGGUUCUCGGUGAGGUUCCAGAAGCUCUUCCAGAAGCCGACCUCCAGGUUUUGGGUCAGGCGCUCGAAUUCGGCCCCGCGCAGCUCCGGGUCCAGGGCGUAGCGGCCCCCCGAGAACAGCGAGCCCGCCGCCGCGCCUGCCCCAUAGCGACCCACAAGUGACCCACAAGUGACCCAUAGCGACCCACAAGUGACCCACAAGUGACCCAUAACUAACCCAUAAGUGACCCAUAAGUGACUCACAGUGACCCACAAGUGACCCACAACUGACCCAUAGCGCCCCAUAAGUGACCCAGAACUGACCCAGAACUGACCCACAAGUGACCCAUAAGUGACCCACAAGUGACCCAUAAGUGACCCAUAAGUGACUCAUAAGUGACCCAUAGCGCCCCAUAACUAACCCAGAACUGACCCAUAAGUGACCCACAAGUGACCCAUAAGUGACCCAUAACUAACCCAGAACUGACCCACAACUGACCCAUAAGUGACCCAUAGCGACCCAUAAGUAAGGGACCCAGAAGUGACCCAUAAGUGACCCACAAGUGACCCAUAACUAACCCCUAAGUGACCCAUAAGUGACCCAUAGCGACCCAUAACUAACUCAGAACUGACCCAUAAGUGACCUAUAGCGCCCCAUAAGUGACCCACAAGUGACCCAUAAGGGACUGAUAAGUGACCCAUAACUAACCCCUAAGUGACCCAUAAGUAAGGGACUCAUAAGUGACCCAUAAGUGACCCAUGACCCCAUACAGACCCAUAAGUGACCCCUAAGUGACCCCUAAGUGACCCACAAGUGACUCAUAAGUGACCCACAACUGACCCAUAAGUGACCCAUAGCGCCCCAUAACUAACCCAGA